GAUGAACGCUAGCGAUAGGCCUAACACAUGCAAGUCGAGGGGCAUCACAUGAAGUAGCAAUACGGAUGGUGGCGACCGGCGCACGGGUGAGUAACACGUAUGCAACCUGCCUUCAACAAGGGGAUAACCCGUUGAAAGACGGACUAAUACCCUAUAACACAGGGGUCCCGCAUGGGAAUAUUUGUUAAAGGACAACCGGUUGAAGAUGGGCAUGCGUUCCAUUAGCUAGUUGGCGGGUAACGGCCACCAAGGCAACGAUGGAUAGGGGAACUGAGAGGUUUAUCCCCCAACUGGUACUGACGACACGGACCAGACUCCUACGGGAGGCAGCAGUGAGGAAUAUUGGUCAAUGGACGCAAGUCUGAACCAGCCACGUCGCGUGAAGGAAGACGGCCCUACGGGUUGUAAACUUCUUUUAUACGGGAAUAAAGUGCCCCACGCGUGGGGUUUUGCAUGUACCGUAUGAAUAAGGAUCGGCUAACUCCGUG
rnacentral:rRNA from 1 species